rnacentral:rRNA from 1 species
GACGAACGCUGGCGGCGUGCUUAACACAUGCAAGUCGAACGGACAGGCCAUGCUUUUGUGGGGUGCUCGUGUGGGGAACGGGGGAGUAAAACGCGUGUAACCCGCCCCUGACUUUGGGAUAACUCUUGGGAACUGGGGCUAAAACCGGAUAGGAGCUCUUGAUGCACGUUGGGGGUUGGUAAGUGUCGGCGGUUGGGGCUGGUAUCGCGGCUUAUGAGCCUCUUGGUGAGGUAGUGGCUUUCAAAGGUUUUGACGGGUAGCAGGCCUGAGCGGGCGACCGGGCACAAUACGACUGAGAUACGGCCCAGACGCCUACGGGAGGCAGCAGUGGGGAACAUUGCACAAUGGCCGGACGCCUGAUGCGGCAACGCCGCGUGCGUGAUGACGGCCUUCGGGUUAUGAACCGCUGUCGCCGUUAACGUGGCGGGAUUGACGGUAAUGGGUAAGGAAGCACCGGCUAACUACGUG